ACCUGAAAAAGGAAAGACCGUACUGUACGAAGCGAAAUGGAGCGAGAAAAAUUUGUCGAACGAGAAAACGAAGUAACUAUCGAAGCAAUGAGACGAAAGAAAAAGAAGAACUGGGGUAGCCGCAUUCCCGAGAAAUAAAUCACCACUUUUUCGUACGGACCAUUUCUCAAAGUUCUCGUAGGGCCAAUACAAGAGAGUGAUACGAUAUCCCCAUGUCUAGGUAAAAAGAAAGAAAGAAAGAAACACGCUCAUGACUGUCCAAUGUUUAUCGCAUUCCAAACUAUUUGAGAAUUAAAAUGAUACUUUUUUUUUUUUUUUUUUUUCUAUAUAAAAGUAACAACAAGGAUUUAGGUAUAAUUUUACGAUGUAGUUGUAAAAUAAAAUUUAUCAUUCAUUUCUCUUCUUUUUUUAUUCGCAAUAAAUUUUCUACUUCUAUAUAAAUUUUGGAAUACGUUCAUCGUAAAGAACAUCAAUAUUGAUACAAAUGGGGGAUUAGAUUUUCGAAAUGGUCGUAGAAACCUUAAAUUUCAAGCAGCAAUAUCAGCGGAAUCACUUUUCCAACGUUCUCGUAUUUACUAGUGCCAGACCAAAUUGCGCAUUUUCCACGAGCAACCUUCUCUAUCCUAUCUUCUCCCCUCUAAACCUUGGUAAGAGAAAUGGCCAGAGUUAUAUCUUGGUCGCAACGUGGAUGCGUACGUCUUCUUGAAAAUACAUACAUACAUAUAUACAUACAUAUGUAUGUUUGUAUCGAGGAUGAGAAGGUGAGAGAGAGGUCGGGAGAGAAAGAAAGAGAGAGAAAGAGAAAGAGUCUUGUCGGUUUUAUUUGUUUGUUUUCGAAGGAGUCUCACGGAAAUAUAUUUCAAUGUCGUUCCUUGUCAUCAAAAUGUUGUUCAGUACGAAACCACUCUCCGUCGAGUUCACAACGCGCGCGUACGUCUCUCAUAUUUUGCGUAUUUUCAAUAUGUGCAUAUUAAAGGCGUGUACCGAAAAAUAGAUACAAGUGAAAACGCUUCAAGACUAAACAACGUCUUUCGUCUUGAGAAAUUGAAAGUUGCCAACAGAUUUAGUGAUGUGAACGUGAUAAAAAAAUAUAUAUAUAUAUAUAUCAUAAGAUUUAUCGUACAUCAUGUCUUGUAUUUGUGCGUUAGGAUUUAGAAAUGAUAACGUUUGUUUUUUAGAAACGUUUCAUAUAAUAUUAAAUACAAAAAUUUUCUCUUCUUCUUCUUUUUUUUACUUAAUUACGUAUAUGUAGCACAAGAACAAGAUUUAAGAUUUUCGACAGGAUCAAAAUUUAAGACGUACUUACGUAAACGCGCAAUCGUUAUUUUCAUUCGUGCACCUUCAUUCACAUCACGUUUCUCUUAUUUGUUUGCUUUUAUAUCGUUGACAAUGAAAUACUUGUUUUACGUCAAACAAAAUGGAUCGAAAACUAUAUUCAUCUGAGUUUUGAUCAAUAUCAGUGCAGAAACUUCUCGAAUUACAAUGCUUGUGUUGGUAGGAGUAGGAGAGGGGGAAGAUAUCGAUCCUUACCAACGAGGUGAAUUAAAAGAGAAAAAGAGAGUACCUAUAAUGAAAUCUUUGAAAGAGAAAAAAAGACAAAGAAAAAAAAAAAGAAAGAGAAGAAGAAAAAGAAAAAACUAAAAAUAUACAAUUGCACAUAAAAUUAUAGCAUUGCCGUGCAACCCGUACUACAUACUCAACUCGAGUUGAGUUAUGAACCAAUAUCCUUGGAUGUAAGUGGAUGUCGUAUAUGGUCGUAGUAUUAUACGUAGAACAUGGACUGUGCUUGGCACGAUCUUAAUGACUCUUAAUCUCAAGUACCAACGGCGAUAUUGAGAAACGCAAUACUAAAGUGUAAUAUGGCAACUUGAUAUAUUUAUAAUAUAUUUCUUCGUAGCAUUCUGACAAAAUAUUUUUUAUCGAGAUACAAUUUUAAGAAAAUUAUAGAAAUGUAAAAUGUUAGACUUAUGAAUUGGAUAUCUCAUGAUUUGAUACAAUGCACAAAAUUAAAUUAAAAAAUUGCAAUUUCAUAUCGUAAUAAAUUUCUUCGUAUCAGUUUCAACAUUAGCACAAUUCUUUUCUUGGAUAUUAAGUAAUUUUCUAUGAUUCUCAAGUACAUUAUUGGGUCGAGCAAUUUCUAUGGAGGUAAUACAGAUGGAAGAAAAUUUUCAUUCGAAUUACAAUCCAAUAUUGUGUUGAGCUGCGUCGAGAAGAAGUAUUUCUCUCGUGAGUUAUGUGCUUUACCGACUCUGAUAUUAAAUCUAUACUGGUAAAAAAAAAAAAAAAAAAGAAAAAAAAAAAUCGAACACGCACGUAGAUUUAUUUUUUUUUUCCAAAAGUAUCUAACUGAUUAUCAAAUAAAUUCAUGCUUUUACUUAUAUCACUUAUUUAUCAUUCGUUAAUGUUACUAUCAUUUCGUGAUAAUUCAUUGAGAAAGAAAAUAGAAAUAAUUUAAUAUAAGACAUUUACGAGAAAGAUGAUAGUGAUGGAGUGGAAUUAUCUCAGUGAAUAUCGUUCUGAUCAUCCAUCUUGGUUGUUACUUUGUUAUGUCGAUGUUUAUAUCGACUCGUUCAUGAUAUCACUCUCGAAUAAAAUAAUCGGUUUAUUUGCGUUUCCUGUACUUUCGAAGGAGAAUCGUGUCGUAACCGAAGCCAUUAAAAUAUAAUAUUGUCCGGAUUUUCUCUCAUUGUACGAUACAAAUGUGUAUAUAUAUAUAUAUAUAUACCGAUUAUUCGCCGAACUGUAAGGAAUCGUGGGUAUUAAGUAAAUUCAAGAUCAAUAAACCAUUGUGAAUUUGA